UACGAAGGGGGCUAGCGUUGCUCGGAAUGACUGGGCGUAAAGGGCGCGUAGGCGGUUCGUACAGUCAGACGUGAAAUUCCCGGGCUCCAACCUGGGGCUGCGUUUGAUACGUGCGGGCUUGAGUUCGGAAGAGGGUCGUGGAAUUCCCAGUGUAGAGGUGAAAUCGUAGAUAUUGGGAAGAACACCGGUGGCGAAGGCGGCG
rnacentral:rRNA from 1 species